GGGGACGACCGGAAUUGACAGCUUGUUGACGCUGCGUGUAAGCAUGCCGGGAGUUGAGGGCAUUUCCUGUAUAACAAACCUUCAAACAAUAACUGGCGAAUAUAACUACGCCAUGGCUGCUUAAUCCGGAGGAUUAGCUAAUGCCAUUGUCUCCCCAGCAUACGUGCUGCUGGCUGGAUCAGGAGGCAUCGACUCGCAGCGCUGGCUCAGUUUAUGGUGUUAACGGCUGAGUAAGACACAAGCACCUACGGAUGAGGUCUGGCGUGAUGCGGGCCUGGCUGAUUCCCGACAAUCCCAAUCGCAUCUAAGCAUGUAGAAAGCACGACGGUUUCCUUGUCUGGACCAGGGUUCGACUCCCUGCGUCUCCACUU
rnacentral:tmRNA from 1 species